AUUGAACGCUGGCGGCAUGUCUUACACAUGCAAGUCGAACGGCAGCACGGGGCAACCUGGUGGCGAGUGGCGAACGGGUGAGUAAUGCAUCGGAACGUACCUUUCAGUGGGGGAUAACGUAGCGAAAGUUACGCUAAUACCGCAUAUUCUGUGAGCAGGAAAGCAGGGGAUCGCAAGACCUUGCGCUGAUUGAGCGGCCGAUGUCAGAUUAGCUAGUUGGUGAGGUAAAGGCUCACCAAGGCGACGAUCUGUAGCGGGUCUGAGAGGAUGAUCCGCCAAGCUGGAACUGGGACACGGUCCAGACUCCUACGGGAGGCAGCAGUGGGGAAUUUUGGACAAUGGGGGCAACCCUGAUCCAGCCAUGCCGCGUGAGUGAAGAAGGCCUUCGGGUUGUAAAGCUCUUUCGGCCGGGAAGAAAUCGCACGGGCUAAUACCCUGUGUGGAUGACGGUACCGGAAUAAGAAGCACCGGCUAACUACGUGCCAGCCGCCGCCGUAACAC
rnacentral:rRNA from 1 species